AACGAACGCUGGCGGCAUGCUUAACACAUGCAAGUCGAACGAGAAAGCUCUUUCGGGAGUUAUUAGAGUGGCGCACGGGUGAGUAACGCGUAGAUAACCUACCCUUUAGUCUGGGAUAACUUCUCGAAAGGGAAGCUAAUACCGGAUAAUAUCUCUUCUCGAGUGGGAAGAGAUUGAAAGUUCCGGCGCUAUAGGAUGGGUCUGCGUACCAUUAGCUAGAUGGUGAGGUAAAAGCUCACCAUGGCUACGAUGGUUAGCGGGUCUGAGAGGAUGAUCCGCCACACUGGCACUGAGACACGGGCCAG
rnacentral:rRNA from 1 species